UACGUAGGGGGCAAGCGUUGUCCGGAAUCAUUGGGCGUAAAGCGCGUGUAGGCGGCUCGGUAAGUCUGCUGUGAAAGUCCAGGGCUCAACCCUGGGAUGCCGGUGGAUACUGUCGAGCUCGAGUCCGGAAGAGGCGAGUGGAAUUCCUGGUGUAGCGGUGGAAUGCGCAGAUAUCAGGAGGAACACCGGUGGCGAAGGCGGCUCUCUGGAACGCAACUGACGCUGAGACGCGAAAGCGUGGGGAGCAAACAGG
rnacentral:rRNA from 1 species